rnacentral:rRNA from 1 species
UACGUAGGGACCAAGCGUUGUUCGGAUUUACUGGGCGUAAAGGGCGCGUAGGCGGCGUGACAAGUCACUUGUGAAAUCUCCGGGCUUAACUCGGAACGGCCAAGUGAAACUGUCAUGCUAGAGUGCAGAAGGGGCAAUCGGAAUUCUUGGUGUAGCGGUGAAAUGCGUAGAUAUCAAGAGGAACACCUGAGGUGAAGACGGGUUGCUGGGCUGACACUGACGCUGGAGGCGCGAAAGCUAGGGUAGCAAACGGG